rnacentral:rRNA from 1 species
GACGAACGCUGGCGGCGUGCUUAACACAUGCAAGUCGAACGGAAAGGCCCUGCUUUUGUGGGGUGCUCGAGUGGCGAACGGGUGAGUAACACGUGAGUAACCUGCCCUUGACUUUGGGAUAACUUCAGGAAACUGGGGCUAAUACCGGAUAGGAGCUCCUGCUGCAUGGUGGGGGUUGGAAAGUUUCGGCGGUUGGGGAUGGACUCGCGGCUUAUCAGCUUGUUGGUGGGGUAGUGGCUUACCAAGGCUUUGACGGGUAGCCGGCCUGAGAGGGUGACCGGCCACAUUGGGCCUGAGAUACGGCCCAGACUCCUACGGGAGGCAGCAGUGGGGAAUAUUGCACAAGGGGCGGAAGCCUGAUGCAGCAACGCCGCGUGCGGGAUGACGGCCUUCGGGUUGUAAACCGCUUUCGCCUGUGACGAAGCGUGAGUGACGGUAAUGGGUAAAGAAGCACCGGCUAACUACGU